UUGCAGGGGUUUAAAAUCAUCUCGAGGAAGAAGGAGGAGAAAGAAAAAGAAGGCGAAGAAGAAGAUGACGACGACGAUGACGAAGAAGAAGAAGGAGAAGGAGACAAUGAAAAAAAACCAACAGGUAGAAUCUGCGAAUCAUCUGCACUGAUGAGGCCCAACGUAAUGAUGAGCCACAGUGUACCAGUACUGAGUAGCAACACCAACGUCACUUCAAAGUUUGCAUGCAGUCCGAUGAUUCACCAGCAACUCGGGCACCUCAGGCAUCCCUGAACCAGAUCUUGAGUUCGUGAUCUAGAUAGAAGAACACGAUAUAGGAGAAGACUAUACAAGUAUAUAUAUAAUCGCAAGGAAAGAUACUACACACUAAUCGAUGAGCAGCAUAGGUUUGAACCACAACAAAGUUGAGAGACUCGGCUGCCCAAAGCGUCACAUGAACUAGCAGAGUCAACUAAUGAGGGAAGACAGACUGACUUAGUCAUACUGAACUUCAGCAAGGCAUUUGAUCUACCAGUCUCUGAGCUGCAUUGAACCACUAAGAGACAUUCUACCAGUGACUCAGGUCAUUCUGUCCAAACAGAAGCUGAAGAUUCUUCCCACGUUACAUGUUACAAACUACUAAAGCCGAGGCACAGGAUCAGAAAAUCUUCAUACAGGAGCCGCAGAACUUUGUUGCUGCCAUGGUUUUUCUAUAGCUUGUAAAGGCCCUUUUUGAGUACACCCUAGUGAUGGCUGAGGCUGUGCCGGUUGGGUUUUGCACCCAGUGGCCGCUACGGUAGCCGGAUUGGUUCAGACCUGAAGGGACGAAAGGUUUGGGCAACUACAUUAAACCAUGGCGUACGACGACUGAACAUCUUGGUUCCACGUCGGAUUUAUGAAGAUGGCAUUGGCUGUUAUCCUGCUUUCAUCCCAUCGGAUGUAUCAAGGAUCUGGUGUGGCUGAAGGGUACCUAACUUUGCCACUCAACAUCAGUGUUUUCGCCUUUCUCAGUCUGCUUUAGGUCAGUCAAAACUCGUCGUCGGAUACUUAACAUAUCACCAUUGGUUAUGAAGACUCGUGUGUUGGGUGGACAGGUAUGGAGCAAGGCAUAUCAGAGAGAAAGAAGAGGAAUAAUUGGUGCCAAUGUGCUAGGUCAUGAAGCUGGGAUUGGAGCAUGCUAACUCUUUGGACAGCAGACCCGGGACAGGAGAGGAGACUCACGACAGGAAAGGAGCUCAGGACAGGAUAAGAGACCCACGACAGGAGAGGAGCCCAGGACAGGACAGGAUACUGAGGACAGGACAAGCAGCCCAGGACAAGAGAGGACAGGACAGGAGCACCAACUACCAUUUAUUGAGAAGCUGCAUAACACUGCCACUCCUGAGUACUAGCGCAUGCCAGCCCACUUAUGUACGAGGUUUUCGUCAAGCUGACAGAAGUUGUAAGUGUGUAAAUCAUUGAUGCUAGAACUGUUGUAUAAAUGCACAUGUAUACUAUUGUUAACAUCAAGUUGUCUAGCUACCGUGUGUACAUCGUUACUCAAAUGCAAUGUCGUGUUUUUCAUUGAGUUCGGUUUUUAUACUUUAGCUAUUCAGUAAUCGAAAUAGCUUAACAGAUUUUUUAAUGACAAAUUCUGAACAUAUGUUACUCAUGGCAGUGGCAGUGGCAGUUGAUAAAAGUUUUUAAUUGAUUGACAAAUAUAAUUAAGCCAGUUUUGCAUUGUUGCUCGGCAUAACCCCACUUUAUUAGUCAGUUCACAGGUUUCAGUCAUAGCUUUAGUGUUUAUAAAACAUAUAAUUUCACAAAAUUGAAGCUCAAACUGCAUGGCUGCUUGAUGGUCAAUAACUUUAUUAUAUUUUGCGUAGUACAGUAGGGCCAAGCAGCGUAGUAA